AUUGAACGCUGGCGGCAGGCUUAACACAUGCAAGUCGAGCGAGCGGCGGACGGGUGAGUAAUGUCUGGGCAACUGCCUGAUGGAGGGGGAUAACUACUGGAAACGGUAGCUAAUACCGCAUACCAUCAGAUGUGCCCAGAUGGGAUUAGCUAGUAGGUGGGGUAAUGGCUCACCUAGGCGACGAUCCCUAGCUGGUCUGAGAGGAGGACCCGCCACACUGGAACUGAGACACGGCCCAGACUCCUACGGGAGGCAGCAUUGGGGAAUAUUGCACAAUGGGCGCAAGCCUGAUGCAGCCAUGCCGCGUGUGUGAAGAAGGCCUUCGGGUUGUAAAGCACUUUCAUCGAGGAGGCGUUACUCGCCGAAGAAGCACCGGCUAACUCCGUGCCAGCAGCCGCGGUAAUUC
rnacentral:rRNA from 1 species